GGGCGGUUAGUUCAGGGGUAGAACGCUACCUUGACAUGGUAGAAGUCAGAGGUUCAAAUCCUCUACCGCCCACCA
rnacentral:tRNA from 1 species